GUUAUCGUUUAUUAAAAGAUGACUGAGAGCGAAAGGAUGUCCGGACAGAAUUGGUUGGGCAAGAGAGAAUUCUUUAUUGGAGUGUUACCUUGGUAUAAAUGACACCUGUCCUCAGAACUAUGGUGACUGAGGAGAACAAGCAACAUGCUCCAACCAGUUCAUGACGUAUUUUACAGUUAGUGCUCUCAAAUGUUGAACAUAAUUGAAGAAUAAUCGCAUUUUUAUAAUCACCUAUAAAAUGGCUUAUGGUGUGGCAAACGUGAAAAAAACACACAAAAUGAAAAAAAGCUAAGAAAGGAAGUUGUCAGAUCGCCAAAUACCAUAGUUCAGCAGAGGAGUUGAAAUUUGAAUGUGGCUGCUUUUAGUUACAAGGCCCAGUUGAUAGAAAUAUCAAUAAUUGUAUACAGUGAUCAAAGAUUAAAUUAAACUAGUAUACCAUUUACAGACAAAUUAAUGAGGAACAAAUAACUUGGAAAUGCUGACAAUUAUGUACAUGUUUAUAAACCUCUGAUUUUUCAAAUAUAGCAUAUUUCAUGAGG